rnacentral:rRNA from 1 species
GACGAACGCUGGCGGCGUGCUUAACACAUGCAAGUCGAACGGAAAGGCCCUGCUUUUGUGGUGUGCUCGAGUGGCGAACGGGUGAGUAACACGUGAGUAACCUGCCCUUGACUUUGGGAUAGCUUCAGGAAACUGGGGCUACUACCGUAUAGGAGCUCCUGCUGCAUUGUGGGGGUUGGAAAUUUUCGGCGGUUGGGGAUGGACUCGCGGCUUAUCAGCUUGUUGGUGGGGUAGGGGCUUACCCAGGCUUUGACGGGUAGCCGGCCUGAGAGGGUGACCGGCGACAUUGGGACUGAGAGACGGACCAGACGCCUACGGGAGGCAGUAGUGGGGAAUAUUGCACAAUGGGCGGAAGCCUGAUGCAGAAACGCUGCGUGCGGGAAGACGGCCUUCGGGUUGUAAACCGCUUUAGGCUGAGACGAAGCGUGAGUGACGGUAAUGGGUAAAGAAGCACCGGCUAACUACGUG